rnacentral:rRNA from 1 species
CCAUGGGGCAAACUUAGUACGGCGAGUGAAGCGGUAAAAGCUCAAAUUUGAAAUCUGGUACUUUCAGUGCCCGAGUUGUAAUUUGUAGAAUUUGUCUUUGAUUAGGUCCUUGUCUAUGUUCCUUGGAACAGGACGUCAUAGAGGGUGAGAAUCCCGUUUGGCGAGGAUACCUUUUCUCUGUAAGACUUUUUCGAAGAGUCGAGUUGUUUGGGAAUGCAGCUCAAAGUGGGUGGUAAAUUCCAUCUAAAGCUAAAUAUUGGCGAGAGACCGAUAGCGAACAAGUACAGUGAUGGAAAGAUGAAAAGAACUUUGAAAAGAGAGUGAAAAAGUACGUGAAAUUGUUGAAAGGGAAGGGCAUUUGAUCAGACAUGGUGUUUUUUGCAUGCACUCGCCUCUCGUGGGCUUGGGCCUCUCAAAAAUUUCACUGGGCCAACAUCAAUUCUGGCAGCAGGAUAAAUCAUUAAGAAUGUAGCUACUUCGGUAGUGUUAUAGCUUUUUGGAAUACUGUUAGCCGGGAUUGAGGACUGCGCUUCGGCAAGGAUGUUGGCAUAAUGGUUAAAUGCCGCCCGUCUUGAAACCACGGACCA